AUUUAAAUAGCUUAAGUUUAGAGCGUAAUAUUGAAGAUAUUGAAGUAAUAAUUUUAUUUUUAAAUA
rnacentral:tRNA from 1 species